rnacentral:lncRNA from 1 species
AUGGCCUCAAGCUCUUCAAUCAUCUUCUUCAUAUCCAAUUUUUCAGCCACAACAUCAACACCACCACCAAAAAUUAACCCAUCUCUACCACCCAAAAUCCAAUAUUUCACUGUAGUGUUCAGAUCUAGAACUUGGCCACCACUACCCACAUCAAACUUCAUAUCCCCAACUCUUCUCUUACCAAUUGGCUGGUACAUAUGCAUUUUUAGAACCCUUUUUGCAAAUCAAGAAGAAAACCAAAUAAACUACACUUAA